rnacentral:rRNA from 1 species
UACGAAGGGGGCUAGCGUUGCUCGGAAUUACUGGGCGUAAAGCGCACGUAGGCGGCUCUUUGAAGUCGGGGGUGAAAAUCCUGGAGCUCAACUCCAGAACUGCCUCGAUACUGAAAGAGCUCGAGUCCGGGAGAGGUGAGUGGAACUGCGAGUGUAGAGGUGAAAUUCGUAGAUAUUCGCAAGAACACCAGUGGCGGAAGGCG